UCCCUCUCUGUUCAUGCAAAUCGCUGGGGGAACUUCAGCCAAUAGUCAUUGGCUCGUCAAUUAAGGACGGGAGCAAAAGAGGGGCAGAAAGGCGUGGGGCAGAAGGGCACGGUCAUGAUUUGCUGCCCCGGACGCAGCUAAGUCCAGACCCCGCCGGAGGAGCCGGAACAGGGGACUUGCCUCUGAAGACUGAGACAAGGCGCCACCCGGUCGGGCACCGGAGCGCGUGCCCACCAGCCUCCCUCCUCGCCGCACCAGUCAGAACCCAAGUGCACAGGUUGCGAGCGCGCGAGAGAGAUUAGAAUCAAGAAACGAGCCUGCGUGUACAUCUGAAUCUCGAGAGAGAGGAAGUGGGCGCUACAGAGCAGCCACGGGAGCGUUCCCAAACGCUCGCUUUGCCACCCGUUCUUCGCAGAGACUUGCGUCCAGCAGUGUGUGCACAGAGAAAGAAAAGCCACUCUUCUCCGCGGAGGGAAGGAAUUUCAAACUCUUUUUAAGGUGGUUUGAGCCGGAAAAGCAAAUCUAUGAAUUCGCGGAUACUUCUGGCACAGAUGCACCAUUUUCGAGUGCCCCCAUACCACCUCCCAGCAGAGUUUUGGUUCUGACCAUACCACCCAGCUGAUCUCUAUGGAAAAGGUUAGUGCUUCUCCUCCCCUUCAUUAAGUAGGCAAGAAAUUAAAUCUUAAUAUUCUAGAAGACGUAGAUUUAGCAUUAAUUUUUCUAGAGUACUCUGUUUCUGAAAAGCAUGACCAUAUGAAAUAUAAUGUAAGUUGAAACACAGAAGUUAAACAUUCUGGAGAUCAUGUUUGGAAUGACAGUGAUAACUCCCAUUGCUUUGUGACUGCAAAGGCCCUGGAUGGAAGUUUGUCAUCAAAACUGGAAGGACUUGGCACAGUUUGAAGUAAAACCUUCAUGUCACAAUCCAAACUGUUAACUGAGCUACUUGUUACUAUCUUUCCUUUUUGAAGAUCUAAGCAGAGGUUUCAUACGGGGUUACACUGUAAUUGGGCCUCAGGAAAAAAAAAAAAAAAGGCCAAAUACCCUUCUUUCUUCUUCUAUGCCUUCAUCUUGGGUACAGUGAAAACAUUCCCAAACUCCUGUUCCAUAUGAUGUGAGCCCUGUGACCUACCAUCUGCUGUCACAUAUUUCUUUCUAAAGAUGACCUGGAGGGCUUCUGUGCUAUUCCUCCCUUGAAAAUAAUAGUUAUGAAUGUCUCAGAUGUCUCAGUUGCCCUGGGCCUGCUUCCCAGGUGUUUUGUAAAAAUUGAUCUAGAAGAAUUGUUAG
rnacentral:lncRNA from 1 species